GCCCGGCGUAGCGCAGAGGCAGACGCGCCGCCACUGCAUGGCGGACCACGCCGGUUCGAAUCCGGCCCCGGGCA
rnacentral:tRNA from 1 species